rnacentral:rRNA from 1 species
UACGGAGGGGGCUAGCGUUGUUCGGAAUUACUGGGCGUAAAGGGCUCGUAGGCGGCCAACUAAGUCCGACGUGAAAUCCCCAGGCUUAACCUGGGAACUGCGUCGGAUACUGGAUGGCUUGAAUUCGGGAGAGGGAUGCAGAAUUCCAGGUGUAGCGGUGAAAUGCGUAGAUAUCGGAAGGAACACCAGUGGCGAAAGCGGCUUCCUGGUCCAGCACCGACGUUCAGGCACGAAAGCGUGGGGAGCAAACAGG